UUAGAGUUUGAUCCUGGCUCAGGAUGAACGCUGGCGGCGUGCUUAAUACAUGCAAGUCGAACGAGGAGCUAUUAUCUUCGGAUGAAAGAAUUCCUAGUGGCGAACGGGUGAGUAACGCGUUGGUGACCUGCCCCAAAGAAGGGGAUAACAGUUCGAAAGAGCUGCUAAUACCCUAUGUUAUCAGUUGGAUUAGAUGCCUACUGAUUAAAAGGAGUAAUCCGCUUUGGGAGGGACCUGCGUCCCAUCAGCUAGUUGGUAGGGUAACGGCCUACCAAGGCAAUGACGGGUAGGGGACCUGAGAGGGUGACCCCCCACAAUGGCACUGAAACACGGGCCAUACACCUACGGGUGGCAGCAGUAGGGAAUAUUGGACAAUGGGCGAAAGCCUGAUCCAGCAACGCCGCGUGCACGAUGACGGCCUUCGGGUUGUAAAGUGCUUUUAGAGGAGAUGAGAAAGGACAGUAUCCUCUGAAUAAGCCUCGGCGAACUACGUGCCAGCAGCCGCGGUAAAACGUAGGAGGCAAGCGUUAUCCGGAUUUAUUGGGCGUAAAGCGCGUGCAGGCGGUUUAACAAGUUGGAUGUGAAAGCUCCCGGCUUAACUGGGAGAGGUCAUUCAAUACUGUUAGACUAGAGAAUGGGAGAGGGAGGUGGAAUUCCGGGUGUAGUGGUGAAAUGCGUAGAUAUCCGGAGGAACACCAGUGGCGAAAGCGGCCUCCUAGACCAUUUCUGACGCUAAGACGCGAAAGCUAGGGUAGCAAACGGGAUUAGAGACCCCGGUAGUCCUAGCUGUAAACGAUGUAGACUUGGCGUUGGCGGAGUUAAAUCUGCCAGUGCCGUAGCUAACGCGAUAAGUCUACCGCCUGGGGACUACGAUCGCAAGAUUAAAACUCAAAGGAAUUGACGGG
rnacentral:rRNA from 1 species